GUAACAUUUCUAGCUUGCUAGAAGAUGACGAGUGGCGGACGGGUGAGUAAUGCUUGGGAACUUGCCUUUGCGAGGGGGAUAACAGUUGGAAACGACUGCUAAUACCGCAUAAUGUCUUCGGACCAAACGGGGCUUCGGCUCCGGCGCAAAGAGAGGCCCAAGUGAGAUUAGCUAGUUGGUAAGGUAACGGCUUACCAAGGCGACGAUCUCUAGCUGUUCUGAGAGGAAGAUCAGCCACACUGGGACUGAGACACGGCCCAGACUCCUACGGGAGGCAGCAGUGGGGAAUAUUGCACAAUGGGGGAAACCCUGAUGCAGCCAUGCCGCGUGUGUGAAGAAGGCCUUCGGGUUGUAAAGCACUUUCAGUUGUGAGGAAAAGUUAGUGGUUAAUACCUGCUAGCCGUGACGUUAACAACAGAAGAAGCACCGGCUAACUCCGUGCCAGCAGCCGCGGUAAUACGGAGGGUGCGAGCGUUAAUCGGAAUUACUGGGCGUAAAGCGCACGCAGGCGGUUUGUUAAGCUAGAUGUGAAAGCCCCGGGCUCAACCUGGGAUGGUCAUUUAGAACUGGCAGACUAGAGUCUUGGAGAGGGGAGUGGAAUUCCAGGUGUAGCGGUGAAAUGCGUAGAUAUCUGGAGGAACAUCAGUGGCGAAGGCGACUCCCUGGCCAAAGACUGACGCUCAUGUGCGAAAGUGUGGGUAGCGAACAGGAUUAGAUACCCUGGUAGUCCACACCGUAAACGCUGUCUACUAGCUGUGUGUGUCUUUAAGACGUGCGUAGCGAAGCUAACGCGCUAAGUAGACCGCCUGGGGAGUACGGCCGCAAGGUUAAAACUCAAAUGAAUUGACGGGGGCCCGCACAAGCGUUGAGCAUGUGGUUAAUUCGAUGCACGCGAAGAACCUUACCUACACUUGACAUGCUGAGAGUUACUAGAGAUAGUUUCGUGCCUUCGGGACUCAGACAAGGUGCUGCAUGCUGUCGUCAGCUCGUGUCGGAGAAUGUUGGGUAAGUCCCGCAACGAGCGCAACCCUCAUCUUAGUGGCAUCAGUUAGCUGGGCACUCUAGAGAACUGCUGGAUGACAGAGGAAGCAGGAUGACGUCAGUCUCAUGGCUUAUGGCUGCCACCACGUGCUCAUGGCGGGACAAGGAACAAUAGGCAACUGGACCAUUCAAAGGGGCUCCAAUUCGAGUUUCUCGCAACUCGGACAUAAAUUUAUCCUCUAAAGCAGAAAAUAACCG
rnacentral:rRNA from 1 species